rnacentral:rRNA from 1 species
CCUACGGGAGGCAGCAGUAGGGAAUCUUCCACAAUGGGCGAAAGCCUGAUGGAGCAACGCCGCGUGAGUGAAGAAGGUUUUCGGAUCGUAAAACUCUGUUGUAAGGGAAGAACAAGUGCAGUAGUAACUGGCUGCACCUUGACGGUACCUUAUUAGAAAGCCACGGCUAACUACGUGCCAGCAGCCGCGGUAAUACGUAGUGGCAAGCGUUCGGAAUUAUUGGGCGUAAAGCGCGCAGGCGUUUUUUAAGUCUGAUGUGAAAGCCCUCCGGUUAACCGAGGAGGGUCCUUGGAAACUGGGAGACUUGAGUGCGGAAGAGGAAAGUGGAUUCCAAGUGUAGCGGUAAAUGCGUAGAGAUUUGGAGAACACCAGUGGCGAGGCGACUUUCUGGUCUGUAACUGACCUUGAGGCGCGAAAGCGUGGGGAGCAACAGGAUUAGAUACCUUGGUAGUCCACGCCGUAAACGAUGAGUGCUAAGUGUUAGGGGGUUUCCCCCUUAGUGCUGCAGCUAACGCAUUAAGCACUCGCGCGGGGAGUACGGUCGCAAGACUGAAACUCAAAGGAAUUGACGGGGGCCCGCACAAGCGGUGGAGCAUGUGGUUUAAUUCGAAGCAACGCGAAGAACCUUAC